rnacentral:rRNA from 1 species
AUCUAUGACCAUGCCACCCUGAGCGAGCCUGAUCCUGACAGACCUCAGAACUAAGCAGGGUCGGGCCUGGUUAGUACUUGGAUGGGAGACCACCUAGAAAGACCAAGUGCUGUAGGCG